GGGACACAAUACACUGCGGAAGGCCACAGGGACCUCUGCCCAGGAAAGCCAGGCUUGCAUUAAGGAAAUGAUUUCCUAUGAUUCUGCUUACUGCUUAAAAAAAUUAAUCAAGUUUUCUGCCUGACAAGUGGUUUCAAAAGGAAAAGCUUUGGGAGAUAGAAGUCCUCGUUUUGACCUCUGCCCUCCUUGUACACCAGGAACCAGAAAAACUUCAUCUCUUUUACAAGAAACAUUGAGAUUCCUGUAAAAUUAAGAAAUCACACAAUUUGAUGCUCUACAUUAUCUAAAGCAAAUGAGACUUCUAUUUGGAACAAAGACUACCUUGUUGGGAAAUGAGUCUGCAAGUUAAAGUGUUUUCUG
rnacentral:lncRNA from 1 species